rnacentral:lncRNA from 1 species
UCCUGAAUUUCUUGUCGCCACUGUUCUGACGUUUUACCCAAGCCAACAGUUCUUACCGACCUGCGCAACUUCUUGUAAUCUGUCUUCAGGCUGUCUAAAUCUUCUUCUGCUUUGUUCUUUCCUUUUCUCAAUUUAUCGGCCUCUAAUCUUUGAAUGUCCACAUCCAGUCCUAACUGCAUUUUUUCUUCCUCUAGUUGUUCUAUCUUCUUCCCCAAUUCUAAACUCCUUUUUUUCAAAUUCUUGUUUGAUGAUUUCCAUCUCAGAAGGCAAAACUUGUAAGCGUUCCUCUAAAGAUCGAGCAGUUUCUGAAUUUGACGCCGGGAUGUUGUCGUUGAUCCUUUGAUCACGCCACUGACCAUACUCGGGGGUAAUUGUCGGACCCACGGUUAAGAUCUUCAUUCGACGAGUUUGGUUCCAGGCACUAGAUAUUUCUCGAACCUUCUUCUUGUAAUUGUCCUCCCUAUAGGAAAAAUCACUAUAAGCCAACCCUUGCGUUGCUGGUAUGAAUUGUCGUGAUCUAUACUGUCUUGAUACGAG